GCCGGUUCAGUCAUCUCCUGUGUCAUGUUUUGAAUUUUUUGGUAAUGUUCCUUCCUCAAUAAUCGUUUCAGUUUUCAAUCGCAUUUGCUCUGGAUUUCUCAUGGUCAGUAUCCCUUCCUUUAUAGUCGUUUAGAUCAUGCAUCCCUCAAUUCCUGCACUGGAUUUUUCAUUACCAGUGCUCCUUCUUAAACAGUCGUUUCAU
rnacentral:lncRNA from 1 species